rnacentral:lncRNA from 1 species
GAGCAAGUGGAUCUUGAAGCCUUCAGCUCCAGCACCUUCUACGACAUCCUACUCAAGCACAGCGUGUCUGUCACAAUACGUCUCGGGCAGCUCAGAGGAGAGGUGAAGCAGCUCUAUCAGGGGGUGCUGGGGAAGUUGAGAGAGCUCCACCCUGGCUGGAGGAUGUUUGGAGGGAAAACCGAAGGUCUGGAGAGGCAGGUGGAGCAGGAGAUGGUGCGACGAAGAGCACUGGGCAAUCAGCUGACACAGCUACUGGACAGCCAGCUGCAGAUCCUGCGGGUGGAGAUGAGAUCGCAGCAGGCCAUGCAGAAGACCUUCAGAGCGCGACUGAGAGAGAGCGCGAGGCUUCUGAGACUGCUGGCUGAGGGUCAGACCUCACUCUGGGAUAAACACAUUAAGCAACGUGUUCUGGAGCGGGUAGCUGUGCUGGCUGAUGAGAUGACUGAGAAGGUAUCAGUGGAGAGCCAGAGGCUGGGGGCCUGGGUUGUGCUUAAAGAGGGCACUGGAGCACAGCUAUUAUGCCCUGCUACUGGAUCAGUCCUCAGUAGGGAAGACAUCAUCGCUCCUGAUGGAUCUGUUAGAGCUUGUGAUGCCGUUCAUGUAAACCCCCUCACAGGCCUCAUUCAACCCAACUCUAAUGCCCAUAUGUUACUGGCCAGUGGACACAGCAUGCCAGUUCCCCCGGACUUCUUCCUGCACCCCCAGACUGGCAAACUACUGCCUGUGGCUGGAAACGUGGGCUUUGAUCCUGCUUCCUCCAUCCUUGUCUUUACAGCCGAUGCUUGUGUGGGUGAGGUGGGAAAAUGGGAAUCACCCCUGCUGCCUUUCAUACCGUACCCUCCAUCCCGCCAUGCUGAAAUCCAU